UCCAGGUCAAUCAGUCUGGUUUUCGGUGCACCACCCCAGGACGUGAUGCAAUAAGUUAGCACCGAUUGAGCGAGGGCAAAAUAGACAGAUUUCAAUCGGUUAGCAUCCAAGACAUUUCUUAUUGUUUUAAAGACGUAUAUAAGUUUUCGUAACCUGUUAAUAAUCGCAUCUAUAUGUUCGUCAAAUCUAAGAUUAUUAUCAAUCACUACUCCCAAGUAUUUUACAGUCUCUUUUUUUUAUAUAUUUAUCUAAUAU